rnacentral:rRNA from 1 species
CUACGGGGGGCUCCAGUGAGGAAUAUUGCACAAUGGGGGGAACCCUGAUGCAGCAACGCCGCGUGGAGGAUGACGCAUUUCGGUGUGUAAACUCCUUUUAUAUGUCAAGAAAAUGACGGUAGCAUAUGAAUAAGCACCGGCUAACUCCGUGCCAGCAGCCGCAGGUAAUAGGGAGGGUGCAAGCGUUACUCGGAAUCACUGGGCGUAAAGGACGCGUAGGCGGGUUGGAAAGUCAGGUGUGAAAUCCUACAGCUUAACUGUAGAACUGCACUUGAAACUUCUAAUCUAGAGUAUGGGAGGGGGAGAUGGAAUUAGUGGUGUAGGGGUAAAAUCCGUAGAUAUCACUAGGAAUACCUAAAGCGAAGGCGAUCUCCUGGAACAUUACUGACGCUAAGGCGUGAAAGCGUGGGGAGCAAACAGGAUUAGAUACCCUGGUAGUC